UUGUAAUGUGUGAUUCUUACUUAAGUUCAAUAAUUUAUAGCGCAAUUAAUAUUAGAACUUUUUAUUUGUCUCUUGUUUGUCUUUUAUUAAAGCUCUUCUUUUUUUACAGAUUCAUGCAGAUUCAGAAAAUAAUUCUCAUGACUUUUUUUUUUUUUUAUUAUUUCUAGGCUCAAUGUGGUAACGUAAAGGAGAUAGAUAUAUUUCUAAAGAAUAAUUAUUUAUCUUUAUUUGUUUUAUAGGGCUUUUUAUAAUACCCGAGCGUCAAGUUCGAUUUACCAAAUAGCAACGUCGGUCGUCGCGAGAAACUCAUAGAAAGCACGAAGUCUUUCGCGUUGUUUACGCUUUUUGCACUUAGAAUUAAGAUAGAUACAUAUAUAUUUGUACUUCGAUAAGAAAAGGAAAAGAAAAAAAAUUAAGCAACACAAACAGCCCGUCACAUCACACGUCACGAAGCGGCCAGAAAUGGCUCUUAAAAACGUAGCAAAAGUUUCGUACACUUAAUGUGGAAACAAAAGUGUUUAACUAAAAAUCAAGAGCAGCCAACAUGGAGAUUCAUAAUUUCCCUGGCCUUUAGUUUUGAUAUUGACAUUUGUCAGGAUGUAGACUAUAGAAGAGGAACAACUAUGUCUACUACUUUCUACGAAUGCUUCUGCUUGCAAUCGUAUCACGUAAAGAAUCCAGAAAAUAUCGUGCCAAAUUCAUCAAGAAAAGAACAGACAAAUUAAUUCGCACAUCCUGUAUAAGAACAUC